rnacentral:tRNA from 1 species
GACCGCGUAGCUCAGUUGGAAGAGCAUUGGUCUAGUAUUCCAAAGGUCGUAGGUUCGAAUCCCACCGUGGCCG